GGCGGUGUAGCUCAGCGGUAGAGCAAAGGAUUCAUAAGCCUUUUGUCGUAGGUUCAACUCCUACCACCGCCA
rnacentral:tRNA from 1 species